GUUUACACUUGUCGGGGAAGGGUGAGAACCUUCGAUUAAGGUUCGACUCGAGCGAAAGCGAGAGAACGUUGCCAACGGCAACGACCCGUAGGGUGAGGAGCGAAGCGACGAAUAAUCCUUCCCCCACCACCA
rnacentral:sRNA from 8 species